ACUCCUACGGGAGGCAGCAGUGGGGAAUAUUGCACAAUGGGCGCAAGCCUGAUGCAGCCAUGCCGCGUGUAUGAAGAAGGCCUUCGGGUUGUAAAGUACUUUCAGCAGUGAGGAAGGUGGAGUCGUUAAUAGCGGCCUCAUUUGACGUUAGCUGCAGAAGAAGCACCGGCUAACUCCGUGCCAGCAGCCGCGGUAAUACGGAGGAUUCGAGCGUUAUCCGGAAUCAUUGGGUUUAAAGGGUCCGUAGGCGGUCUUAUAAGUCAGUGGUGAAAUCUUCCAGCUCAACUGGGAAACUGCCAUUGAUACUGUAGGACUUGAAUAUUUGUGAAGUAACUAGAAUAUGUAGUGUAGCGGUGAAAUGCUUAGAUAUUACAUGGAAUACCAAUUGCGAAGGCAGGUUACUAACAGAUUAUUGACGCUGAUGGACGAAAGCGUGGGUAGCGAACAGGAUUAGAUACCCUGGUAGGAUAGCGU
rnacentral:rRNA from 1 species